rnacentral:rRNA from 2 species
GACCUCGGAUCAGGUAGGAAUACCCGCUGAACUUAAGCAUAUCAAA